rnacentral:rRNA from 1 species
GACGAACGCUGGCGGCGUGCCUAAUACAUGCAAGUCGAGCGAACAGACGAGGAGCUUGCUCCUCUGACGUUAGCGGCGGACGUGUGAGUAACACGUGUAUAACCUACCUAUAAUACUGGGAUAACUUCGGGAAACCGGAUCUAAUACCGGAUAAUAUAUUGAACCGCAUGGUUCAAUGGUGAAAGACGGUUUUGCGGUCUCUUAUAGAUGGAUCCGCGCCGCAUUAGCUAGUUGUUAAGGUAACGGCUUACCAAGGCAACGAUGCGUAGCCGACCGGAGAGGGUGAUAGGCCACCCUGGAACUGAGACACGGUCCAGACUCCUACGGGAGGCAGCAGUAGGGAAUCUUCCGCAAUGGGCGAAAGCAUGACGGAGCAACGCCGCGUGAGUGAUGAAGGUCUUCGGAUCGUAAAACUCUGUUAUUAGGGAAGAACAAAUGUGUAAGUAACUAUGCACGUCUUGACGGUACCUAAUAAGAAAGCCACGGCUAACUACGUG